CAGAGCCUGGAGCCUGUUUCGGAUUCUGCGUCUCCCUCUCCCUCUUGCCCCUCCCCUACUCGCACUCUGACCCUCUCUCAAAAAUAAAUAAACAUUACAAAAGAAAAAGAAAAAGAAAGACCUGAUCGUUUCUCUGAGGAAUUUGUGGUCCAGUCCAAGAGGCAGCACGCAUUCACAUCUGCCGUUUAAGAGAAUGGUGAGUGCUUAUAAAGGAGCCGCAUGCAUGUGAGGUUCAGGGAAGCUGUGGACAUUAAUGCACUCAGCAUGUACUUGUUGCACGCCCCCCCCCACCCCCGCUUCAGGCUCCAACCUGGGUUCUGGGGCUAUGGUGCUGGACUCACAGAUGGGAGGAAGGGCAGGUAAAUCAAUAAUUACAGAAUGGACUGAUAUCUGCUAUAAUAAAGGUAUAUACUCCAUGAUCUGAGAAAGUAAUUCUAGUAAGGUUUCUGGGAAUCUAGGAAGGCUUCUCAUAGGAGGUGACCUUUGAUCGAGGUUACGAACAGAUGUCUAGGAAAGGUGCUGCCAUGAAACACCCAAGAAAAGAGAAGGAAGAGAGCAAAGAACCUUCUAAGUGAGUGAGCAGCACGAUCGGGGUGUGGAGGAAAAGCCAAAUGUGGAGUGUGGAAACAGUGGCCAGAUUGGGAAGCAGUGGCUGUGAGAGACCCCUGGUCUAGCUUACUAAAACACCCCCACCCUACCUUCAACUUUGUAAACGCCUCACUCGCAGAGCCUGUACUCCCACUAGUUAACAAACAGGAUUUCUGCGGUUAGACAUCUGGACACCGGGGGAGCUGUACAGGCUGCUACAUAGAUAACCGCUUUCCUCUCGCUUCUGUAAUCUUGCUUACGCGCCCAACCAUAGUAAUCUUGCUUACGCGCCCAACCCUAACCGAAAGGUCCCUAGCCGCUUCGCAGCCCGGGCUCCAAGUUGCAUCAGCCAAAAGAAACUUCAUUUCCCAAGCUUCCCCGGGACGAAACUACCCACAACCCUAACCAUCACCGAGCAGAGAGCCUACCACCAGCCUGUAUGCAAAUAAGACUCAAAAUAGCAUAAAAGACCUGUGACCCCGUUUAUCGGGGCUCUCCCGCUUUCUAACACUGGGGAGCCCUGGUGCACCAGUAAAGACUCUCUGCCGACGUCGGAGUGCCGUGUGGUUCUUUGCGCCAACUCUCAUUCCAUAGGGCCUAGGAGCUUGGCUCCUAACAUUUGGUGCAUUGGCCGGGAACCCGAGGGAAGGCAAGAGAACCCCGGCCCCGUCGGUGGAUGACUCUCCGGCCCGGGCCACUGACGGACUGACUGAAGACAGACUUCUGUGCCUUUGUCUACACACAGGUAUUGUGUUCUAUGUUUUGUCUCUGAACUGUGAAUUCUGAGGCCGGCCGGCCACCUCAGUAGGAGUGUUGAAGGAGGACAGACGUGUCCUGAACCUUCACACCCCAGCCCCGAGGGACGCCUCGGUGGUGUUUGUAGGGGAGAACUGACAAGUUCGUCAGACUCCCCAAAUCCGUAGGCAGGCCUCCCCUGCCAUCUGAAUCUGAAUACUGGCCGCGGCUCCUUGGUUGUUGUCUAGUCUGUGUUGUCUGGUCUGUGUCGACAUUGUAGUCAUCUUUGUGUAUGUGUGUGUAAGUGUGCUGGUGUGGACGCGUGGACAGGACAGGACGACACAGCCAUGGGACAGACAUUGACUACUCCUCUAACUUUGACUCUGACUCAUUUCUCGGACGUCCAAGCAAGAGCUCACAAUCUUUCCCUUGAGGUUCGGAAAGGUCGAUGGCGAACUUAUUGUUCAUCAGAGUGGCCCACCCUAUCCGUAGGGUGGCCCCGGGAUGGGACUUUUGACCUCUCUAUUAUAUUACAGGUUAAGACGAAGGUAAUGGAUCCCGGACCACAAGGUCAUCCAGAUCAAGUAGCCUAUAUCCUCACUUGGGAGGAUCUCAUUCGGAAUCCUCCGGCAUGGGUGAAACCCUUCCUCCCUUCCUGCCCCCUAUCUCAAUCUACCCUUCUUCCCCUGAAAACCUCAAAAGACCGUGCCUCAACCCAAGCUUCAGACCCGCCCAAACCAGUUCUUCCUGAUGAGUCCCAAAAGGACCCUCUUCUCCUAGACGCUUUGUCCUUGCCGCCCCACAACCCCCUCUUACAGCCUCCACCCUAUAAUCCGCCCCUGGCCCCCGCCUUGACCCCGGUGGCCCCUACUUCCCCUCCUGCCUCCAGUUCCUCCUCCCCCUCCCCAAUUUCUUCCCCCGCCUCCGUCUCCGGCGAUCAGACGACCCGAACGGCCCUCCCACUUGGCAAUCUUCCCUGUUUCCUCUCCGGACUGUCAACCGGACUAUCCAGUAUUGGCCAUUUUCUGCAUCUGAUCUUUACAAUUGGAAAACUCAUAACCCUUCCUUUUCCCAAGAACCCCAGGCCCUAACCUCACUGAUAGAAUCUAUCCUCCUCACACACCAGCCCACCUGGGACGACUGCCAGCAGCUCCUACAGGUCCUUUUGACUACAGAGGAAAGGCAACAAGUUCUCCUGGAGGGUUUCCAACCCAGCUCCCCAACGAAAUAGAUGAGGGGUUUCCCCUCACCCGCCCGGACUGGGACUAUGAAACGGCUCCAGGUAGGAGACUCCGUGUACGUCCGGCGGCACCGCUCUCAAGGAUUGGAGCCUCGUUGGAAGGGACCUUACAUCGUCCUGCUGACCACGCCCACCGCCAUAAAGGUUGACGGGAUUGCCGCCUGGAUUCACGCAUCGCACGCCAAAGCAGCCCCAAAAACCCCUGGACCAGAAACUCCCAAAACCUGGAAGCUCCACCGUUCGGAGAACCCUCUUAAGAUAAGACUCUCCCGUGUCUGACUGCUAAUCCACCCUGUCCCUGCCCGAACCCAAAAUGAAACCCCCAGCGGGAAUGGUCUUUCUGUGGGUCCUCACAAGCUUGGGGGCGGGAAUUGGAGCUAAAAUUGUCAAAGAGGGGAACCCACAUCAGGUUUACACCUUGACUUGACCUGUUGAUCUUACAAGAAGGCGGGUUAUGUGCUGCCCUCAAAGAAGAGUGCUGCUUCUAUGCUGAUCACACAGGGAUAAUAAGGGAUAGCAUGGCCAAGCUGAGGGAGAGACUCAAACAAAGGCAAAAGCUGUUCGAAUCUCAGCAAGGCUGGUUUGAGGGGUAGUAUAACAAAUCCCCCUGGUUUACCACUUUAGUCUCCUCCCUCAUGGGCCCCUUAAUACUCCUACUAUUAAUACUGGUGUUCGGACCCUGCAUCCUUAACCGCUUGGUACAGUUCAUAAGAGAAAGACUCUCUGUCAUCCAGGCCUUGGUUCUAACCCAACAGUACCACCAACUAAGACAAUUUGACGCAGAAAGGCCAGAUACAAUUGAAUGAAAGGUUUCAUUCGAUGCCAAAAGAAAAUGGGGGAAUGAGAGACCCCUGGUCUAGCUUACUAAAACACCCCCACCCUACCUUCAACUUUGUAAACGCCUCACUCGCAGAGCCUGUACUCCCACUAGUUAACAAACAGGAUUUCUGCGGUUAGACAUCUGGACACCGGGGGAGCUGUACAGGCUGCUACAUAGAUAACCGCUUUCCUCUCGCUUCUGUAAUCUUGCUUACACGCCCAACCAUAGUAAUCUUGCUUACGCGCCCAACCCUAACUGAAAGGUCCCUAGCCGCUUCGCAGCCCGGGCUCCAAGUUGCAUCAGCCAAAAGAAACUUCAUUUCCCAAGCUUCCCCGGGACGAAACUACCCACAACCCUAACCAUCACCGAGCAGAGAGCCUACCACCAGCCUGUAUGCAAAUAAGACUCAAAAUAGCAUAAAAGACCUGUGACCCCGUUUAUCGGGGCUCUCCCGCUUUCUAACACUGGGGAGCCCUGGUGCACCAGUAAAGACUCUCUGCCGA